rnacentral:lncRNA from 10 species
AAACUCUUUUGGAGAUGUCCCAAGGCCUAACCUGCACCUCUUCACAGCAUAGGCAUUUUCCCCCAAUAAACUACUUAUUCUCCCAACUUCAUCUCAGUGUCAGCUUCCUAGAAGACCCAAACAACGUGGAUGGCCUUCAAAGAAAAAUGGAGGCUGCACAUGUUCUUCGGAAAAAGAUCUAAAAGCAUCACCUUUUGCUUUGUCUGCUGGUGCUUAAGUUUGAAUAUGUCAUCCCACUGCCUUUGGCCUUCAUAGCUUCUGGCCCAGGAAAGGGAAGAAUUACAUGAAGACACAUGGAGAGGGGAGCCAAGGGGAGAGGUUCAGAAGAAACAAAGCCUGCUGAUAUCUUGAUCUUGGGGUCUAACCUCCAGAACGGUGAUGAAAUGUCUGUUAUUUAAGCCAUUCGGUCUGUGGUAUUGGUGACAACAGUCUAAGCAGACUAAUGCAAGCCCUGACACAGACUUUAUGCAAUUUAAUUCUCUUUUCUCAGUCAUGAUUUUCUCCUCUGUAAUAAGCUCUAAUUAUCAGUGAUGAAAAUUAAAUGUGUAAAUGUGUACAUUAUUGUUUAAAGACAAGUAAAGAAAACCAACACCCUUGUUUUUGUUUAACGGAUCUACCUAUUUUUAGGAAAUGUUUAAGCAGAUGUGGAUUUUUUUUUUAACACAAUAAAAUACUAUCCUUUUCUCA